GGAUGUGAGAGUGAUCUAGCUGCAACAUCUGUUACCCCAUUAAUCGCCAGGGUUGAUUCGGCUGAUCUAGCUGGCUAAGCGGGUAUCCCCUUCCUCCCUCACUGCUCCAUGUGCAUCCCUCCCAAAUACUGCACGCUCGAUGGAAGAGGACGACCAUCCCCAAUAGAGGAGGACUGAUCUUCCGUCAAGGGUAUAGGAGUAGCUGCGCUUCCCUGCUGGAACCCCCAAACAAGCUCUUAAAGAGGAAUGAAGACCAAUCUUCAAAAACUCUUCCAAAAAAAUACAAGAAGAGGGAACACUUCACAACUUAUUCUUU
ensembl:misc_RNA RN7SKP153 RN7SK pseudogene 153